GAUGAACGCUGGCGGCGUGCCUAAUACAUGCAGGUCGAGCGAAUGGAUUAAGAGCUUGCUCUUAUGAAGUUAGCGGCGGACGGGUGAGUAACACGUGGGUAACCUGCCCAUAAGACUGGGAUAACUCCGGGAAACCGGGGCUAAUACCGGAUAACAUUUUGAACCGCAUGGUUCGAAAUUGAAAGGCGGCUUCGGCUGUCACUUAUGGAUGGACCCGGGUCGCAUUAGCUAGUUGGGACGGUAACGGCUCACCAAGGCAACGAUGCGUAGCCGACCUGAGGGGGUGAUCGGCCACACUGGGACUGAGACACGGCCCAGACUCCUACGGGAGGCAGCAGUAGGGAAUCUUCCGCAAUGGACGAAAGUCUGACGGAGCAACGCCGCGUGAGUGAUGAAGGCUUUCGGGUCGUAAAACUCUGUUGUUAGGGAAGAACAAGUGCUAGUUGAAUAAGCUGACACCUUGACGGUACCUAACCAGAAAGCCACGGCUAACUACGUGCCAGCCGCCGCCGUAA
rnacentral:rRNA from 1 species